GGAAUGACAAGACUCUCGUUUCUUAACUUCUUUUAAUCCGAGCCUAUAAGGAAAAUUUAAAAUACGCGUUUCGUAGGACUCGGUAACUUACGCGCCGGCUGCAAAUCUCAUCGGUGUCCGACUGUUAAUAAGAGUCGCUGUAUGUGGAGUACCAGAUGCGGAUUUGUAUUGUAAAGCGAAACGUGAAAUUACGCGGUCCCGAUACCCCGUCGCGAGCGAUCUGUGGAUUGCUUUGGAACCGGGUCACGUAGAUGGUACCUAGAAGAGGAGAGUGCAAGUGCCAUCGUGACCGCGCAAUGGCGUCGCCCUGCCCGGUGUCGAAAUCCCCGAUUCGAAACUUUCUUCCAGGCCGCGGGUGCGCGUUCGACGUUCUAGAAGGAACGAGACCGGCGCACGCGUUUCUCGUGGGUACACCUCCGAAAAACUUAAUCGUUCUGGUUCACUUUUAUUACGCAAUCAUUUAAAUCGAGGACCUGGAAUUCGGCCGCCUUUCUCCCCCGGUAAUGGAUUCAGUCCGCGCGAACGAGAUCAAUUUUGUCGCACACGAAAACUACCUGCGCAGAAGACCAUACGCAGCAAAAGGCUGGAGUCGGUUUCCCGGGACGCCGACCAGAAAAAAAUCACGUUAUCCUCCUGCGAGCCGCUUUCGGAUUCUACGCGCAUUUUCAUCAGACACGCGACAUUUUGCAACGGACUGCGUGACGAGAGUGGACGCGGCAGAAAUUUGACAAUUUCGCCGGGACAAUUGAGAAAUAACACGAAAGUAGAGAGUAGAAAGUGGGUCGGGCUAGGCGAACGCAGCCGCGACCGGCCGUGGGUCGCGAGAAUCGAAGUGCUACCCUAUUUCCAAGGUCGCGCGUAGGCGCCGGAGAAAUCGUACAGAAACCAGUAAAUAAAAAAUGGACGUCGAUACCAGUCGAAGCCAAGACCAAAAGCCUUCCAAUUAGUCCAAGAUGGAAGUCUCCGCGCGUGGAAUCCUCAAGAGGCAAAGUCAAGACCUUACAUGAGACCUUCGUGAGAACGGGACAGCCGACGUGCGACAAUUCGCACGUUUCCAGCGUUGGUUCGCCGAAUUUUCUGUACUUUCACAGCUCAAGGUACUUACGGCCGCUUUUACUUGUCCUUGCCAACAAUGUUGCAAGGGGAGCGGUCGCAUGCUUCAAACUCUCACCGCGAACGAAGACGAAUUGUUGGCAGCGGCGAAGGGCAAAGAGCAGCGAUGCAGUGUCCGAACGAAAGGAAUCCUCGUUCUUUAAGAACCCAGACCCUUGUGCCAGCCGUAUCGCGACUAGCUUAGUCUUUCAUUCCCCACUGUUUAAAGGAUAUGAACAUUGGUCUAGUUCAGGUCCAGACCGAGAUGAUCCGUGUGAAACGCAGUAAAUUCUACCAGACUGUUCCUCGGCUUGGAAACGAAAAAUGGACAACUUGAGAAGAUCGGAUGCGAUUAUUCGAGUCCCUCGUUUCUACAGUCGCCGAUCGUCGCCAAAUCGCUGUACUCCCAAUUACUCAAAAAUCGAAAAUGGAAGCUACCAAUCAAGAAGAGACCAUUCGCUCAACGAUAUCGCUUCCACAAGAUCUCAAGCGAAGCCUGGAGAUGCGCGAAAGAGACUCCGAGACCUCCCGAGGUCAGUUGACGCAGCUAAGCCUGAAACGUUGACAAGGCAGAAGACAUGGAAUAGACAGCUAGGCGUAUACAUUGAUAACGUGUUUAAUUGUAGACAAACGAGUCUGCUAGAAAAAUAAAUAAGGUUUAGCCUGAG